rnacentral:lncRNA from 1 species
GUUUGGGGGUGGGGAGUAUUUUCCUGUAACUUCAACAACACAGGAUGCAGUUUGCAGACAGAAUGAGGAGGGAGACCUAGAAAAUACAACAGACAGAGUCCGCAUGAUCCUGGAUAUAGUGCCCCUCACUGGCACCAGCAGGACCCAGUCACCUCACCAGGAGCAUCUUUCAUCUGAUCACUCCCUUGUCCACUCAGCCGUGCUGCUGCAGAUCCACAGAGUUGCAAGGAGGAAAUUGAGAACUGCACCCGAACUGGAAGCUUUCUCGUGUGUUAAUGGGACUCACAGAACAUUCUUUUUCAUUGUUUUUUUCAACCAGUUGACAACAACUGUGAACUUACGUUGUACCAACAGACACAGAAGAGAAAUAAAUGAUAAAUGAGACCCUACUCAUGAGGAAUUCAUAGUGCAACAGGAGAGAGAUUAGUAAUCCACUAGUUAAAAUUCACUCUGAGAUGCCCUAAGUAGAAACACUUUGAGGUAGUGAUGACCAUAGAAAGAGAGAGGCUCACUAAUUCUGAGGACAGGC